ACCCUGUUAGUCCACGCCGUAAACGAUGAGUGUUAAGUGUUAGGGGGUUUCCGCCCUUUAGUGCUGCAGCUAACGCAUUAAGCACUCCGCCUGGGGAGUACGGUCGCAAGACUGAAACUCAAAGGAAUUGACGGGGGCCCGCACAAGCGGUGGAGCAUGUGGUUUAAUUCGAAGCAACGCGAAGAACCUUACCAGGUCUUGACAUCCUCUGACAAUCCUAGAGAUAGGACGUCCCCUUCG
rnacentral:rRNA from 1 species